rnacentral:misc_RNA from 1 species
UCCGAGUUGACCCCGGCAGUCUCCUAUGAGUCCCCACCAUGACGUGCUGGCAACAUAGAACGAGGGUUGCGCUCGUUGCGGGACUUAACCCAACAUCUCACGACACGAGCUGACGACAACCAUGCACCACCUGUGCACGGCCCUUACGGACCCACCAUCUCUGGAGGAUUUCCGUGCAUGUCAAGCCUAGGUAAGGUGGGGAUGACGUGGGAGGAAUUCCA